GAGUGGGGUGUAAAGGAUUUUGCAACACUUCUGCAGUUGGCACAACCUUGUGACUAAGUUAACUUCCUGUUUGCAAUACUUGGCAGGAUUUCAACGUCAUCUUUCAGCCUUCCCGAAACCAAAGACAAACUCUGUACAGGAUCUGCAUUUUAUAACCUUUUGAGAACUUUCCUGCAAUGUAGGGAAUUGAAAAAUUGUAGUGUAUUUGAGAUGAAUAAAAAAAGGAUUUUGAAGUUUGUAAUAUGGACUACUUCCUCUGCAAGAGCAUCAGAAAAUAUGUGAUUUCCUCACAUGGAAUUGUAAAUAAGUUUGUAGACUACGCAGUUACAAAAUGGCUGUAGAAACUGUGGCACAUAUUUCUCUGUACACUUCGAAGUCGGAUAAAUGUGUUGAUUUGAAGGAAAGAUGGGCAGACUCUGUCUCUAAAAUCAGUCUCUCUGGGGAGAGAAAGGAGGAGGGCCCUGCUUCUAAAAUGAGACUCGCUGGGGAGAGAGAGGAGGAUUGCCCUGCCUCUAAAAUGAGUGUCUCUGGGGGACAUGAUACCAAAGCUAAGAGUCCAAUCAAUCAGGAGAGACCAGCCUCCCCUGUUCCCAGCUGUGUGUCCAUGAAGAGUGACUGGUCUAUGUUUGAACCUAUAGAGUUUAGAGAGG